rnacentral:rRNA from 1 species
GACGUAGGGCGCGAGCGUUGUCCGGAUUUAUUGGGCGUAAAGAGCUCGUAGGCGGCUUGUCGCGUCGUCCGUGAAAACCUGCAGCUCAACUCCGGGCCUGCAGUCGAUACGGGCAGACUGGAGUUCGGCAGGGGAGACUGGAAUUCCUGGUGUAGCGGUGAAAUGCGCAGAUAUCAGGAGGAACACCGGUGGCGAAGGCGGGUCUCUGGGCCGAUACUGACGCUGAGGUGCGAAAGCGUGGGGAGCAAACAGG